UACGAAGGGGGCUAGCGUUGUUCGGAAUUACUGGGCGUAAAGCGUGCGCAGGCGGUCUUGUAAGCCAGAUGUGAAAGCCCCGGGCUCAACCUGGGAACUGCAUUUGGGACUGCAAGGCUGGAGUACGGCAGAGGGAGGUGGAAUUCCACGUGUAGCAGUGAAAUGCGUAGAGAUGUGGAGGAACACCGAUGGCGAAGGCAGCCUCCUGGGCUAGUACUGACGCUCAUGCACGAAAGCGUGGGGAGCAAACAGG
rnacentral:rRNA from 1 species